UUAUACAGAUUCCCUUUUCCUCUGAGGAGUGUAAUUAUGAGAAUCAGGAAUAAUAUUUUCAAAUUGUCACAUAAAUAUUUCUGACAUUCCACACUCUAUGGAUUUUGUACACACACAACUCUGACCUUCUUCUGGACUUUAGGAUCAUACUUCCAAGGAGGCUAGGGAGAAGAUGAAUUGAUGAAUAUGUAAAGCAGUGAACAGUUCAUUGGGGAUGCACGUUUUCAUAAAAGGACACAUCCCUUCUCCUUACAUUGAGCAAGGUACAAUGCCUAGCACACUUAUCUACCAAGGUUCCAAGCAUUGAUCCAGGAUAUGAAAGCCACUAUUAAGAUGUUCUGGAGGAUGAGACAUGGGAACAUCCUAGCCCAGCCAUCACCUGACUGCAAUGGUAUGAGAGACUUCAAGUGAAACCAGAA